UACGAAGGGGGCUAGCGUUGCUCGGAAUCACUGGGCGUAAAGCGCACGUAGGCGGCUUUUUAAGUCAGGGGUGAAAUCCUGGAGCUCAACUCCAGAACUGCCUUUGAUACUGAGAAGCUUGAGUCCGGGAGAGGUGAGUGGAACUGCGAGUGUAGAGGUGAAAUUCGUAGAUAUCGCAAGAACACCAGGUGGCGAAGGCGGCUCACUGGCCCGGUACUGACGCUGAGGUGCGAAAGCGUGGG
rnacentral:rRNA from 1 species